GACGAACGCUGGCGGCGUGCCUAAUACAUGCAAGUAGAACGCUGAAGAGAGGAGCUUGCUCUUCUUGGAUGAGUUGCGAACGGGUGAGUAACGCGUAGGUAACCUGCCUGGUAGCGGGGGAUAACUAUUGGAAACGAUAGCUAAUACCGCAUAAAAUGGAUUAUCGCAUGAUAAUCCAUUGAAAGGUGCAAAUGCAUCACUACCAGAUGGACCUGCGUUGUAUUAGCUAGUUGGUGGGGUAACGGCUCACCAAGGCGACGAUACAUAGCCGACCUGAGAGGGUGAUCGGCCACACUGGGACUGAGACACGGCCCAGACUCCUACGGGAGGCAGCAGUAGGGAAUCUUCGGCAAUGGACGGAAGUCUGACCGAGCAACGCCGCGUGAGUGAAGAAGGUUGUCGGAUCGUAAAGCUCUGUUGUAAGAGAAGAACGAGGGUGAGAGUGGAAAGUUCACACUGUGACGGUAUCUGACCAGAAAGGGACGGCUAACUACGUG
rnacentral:rRNA from 1 species